GAAGGUCUUGAGCAGCACUGAGUUCAGUUAUCUCUACAGAAAGACUCAGAAAGAGUUAAAAAGUCUUAAGUUUCUCUUACAAAGGCCUUGAAUGCUUUGUCUUGCCUGCUGCAGACAGUUACAUUAGUUACAACUUUUGGCUGGUAUAGAGAGUCCAAGGGAAACCGGAGGUGUUCCAGAAGUCAGAAAAGCUCCUUCAAAAUCCCACACACAUUUGUAACUACACAAGAACUAAAGCUCCAGCCUUGGAACAGAGCCUUUCUCAGCAGUGCGUCGCGUGGCUCGCUUCAUGUGUUUCGAUUAGGAUGGAAUAGUCGUUGACGGGUAGAGGAGAGUCCGCGAGGGGGUCGAUGGGCUGCAGUUGAUUCAGACAUGUCUGUAAUAACAGCAGGACAGAGAGGACGGCAGAGACUACGAC